GACGUAGGGCGCGAGCGUUGUCCGGAUUUAUUGGGCGUAAAGAGCUCGUAGGCGGCUCGUUGCGUCGGCUGUGAAAACCCGCAGCUCAACUGUGGGCUUGCAGCCGAUACGGGCGGGCUGGGAUUCGGUAGGGGAGACUGGAAUUCCUGGUGUAGCGGUGAAAUGCGUAGAUAUCUGGAGGAACACCGGUGGCGAAGGCGGCAUUCUGGACCGAAACUGACGCUGAGGCGCGAAAGCCAGGGGAGCAAACGGG
rnacentral:rRNA from 1 species